rnacentral:rRNA from 1 species
CUCACCAGGUCAGGACACGGUAAGGAUUGACGGACUGAAGGCUCUUUCUCGAUUCCGUGGAAAGUGGUGCAUGGCCGUUUUUGGUUGGUGGAUCGAUCCGUCUGGUUAAUUCCGUUAACGAACGAGACCUCGGCACUCCGAAUAGCGCGGCGGACGUCGCGGCCUCCGGGCCGUCUUCCGCACGAGCUUCUUAGAGGGACCGUCCCCCGCCGGGGAAGGAGGUGCGAGGCAACGACAGGUCUGUGAUGCCCUUAGAUGUUCUGGGCCGCACGCGCAUUACACUGACGCGUCCAACGGGUGACUCCCGACCCGAAGGGGCCGGGGAAUCGCAAGGCGCGUCGUGAUGGGGAUUGAACGUUGCAAUUGUUGUUCACGAACGAGGAAUUCCUAGUAGGCGCGGGUCAUCAACCCGCGCCGAUUACGUCCCUG